CUCCUUCAGUCCGUCUCACUCUCUCCCUUCAAUCUCCCCCAUGGAAGCUCCUUUCUCUGCUCCUCCUCUCCCAUUUUAAAACCCCUUUGUGUGUUGCCCUCCCAACUCUGCCCAGUUAAAAGCAUUGAUCUGUCUCUCCUGUUCCCUGUCACUUCCAAACCUCCUCUCAUGCAAAGAGCUCCCUCAUCCCAACCACACAGCCUCCUCAUCCCAGCCACACAGAGCUCCCUCAUCCCAGCCACACAGAGCUUCUUAGCCCAACCACACAGAGCUCCCUCAUCCCAACCACACAGAGCUCCCUCAUCCCAACCACACAGCCUCCUCAUCCCAGCCACACAGAGCUUCCUCAUCCCAGCCACACAGAGCUCCCUCAUCCCAGCCACACAGAGCUCCCUCAUCCCAGCUACACAGAGCUCCCUCAUCCCAACCACAGAGCCUCCUCAUCCCAGCCACACAGAGCUCCCUCAUCCCAGCCACACAGAGCUUCCUAAGCCCAACCACACAGCCUCCUCAUCCCAGCCACACAGAGCUUCCUCCUCCCAGCUACACAGAGCUCCCUCAACCCAACCACACAGAGCCCCCUUAUACCAACCACACAGAGCUCCCUCAUCCCAACCACACAGAGAUCCCUCAUCCCAACCACAAAGCCUUCUCAUCCCAGCCACACUGAGCUCCCUCAUCCCAACCUCACAGCCACCUCAUCACAGCCACACAGAUCUUCCUCAGCCCAACCACAGAGCUCCAUCAACCCAACCACACAGAGCCCCCUUAUACCAACUACACAGAGCU